CAACUGUUCAUGCUUGCAUGAAAACAGCUGCCUUUUUUAGAGGACCGCCCCCACAUGAGCAUGAAGCUUGAUAGAGCGAGAAUGCGAAUGUGGGAAGGAUUGCGGGAGCGCGCAGCGCGCAGCAAUCCGG
rnacentral:sRNA from 1 species